UACGAAGGGGGCUAGCGUUGCUCGGAAUCACUGGGCGUAAAGCGCACGUAGGCGGAUUGCUAAGUCAGGGGUGAAAUCCUGGAGCUCAACUCCAGAACUGCCUUUGAUACUGGCGAUCUUGAGUCCGGGAGAGGUGAGUGGAACUGCGAGUGUAGAGGUGAAAUUCGGUAGAUAUUCGCAAGAACACCAGGUGGCGAAGGCGGCUCACUGGCCCGGUACUGACGCUGAGGUGCGAAAGCGUGGGGAGCAAACAGG
rnacentral:rRNA from 1 species